UGGUGGAGCGAUUUGUCUGGUUAAUUCCGAUAACGAACGAGACUCUGGCCUAUUAAAUAGACGAUAUAUUUAAAAGUAUGUCGCGCUUCUUAGAGGGACAAGCGGCGUCUAGCCGCAUGAAAUAGAGCAAUAACA
rnacentral:rRNA from 1 species